rnacentral:rRNA from 1 species
AUUGAACGCUGGCGGCAGGCCUAACACAUGCAAGUCGAGCGGAUGAAGGGAGCUUGCUCCUGGAUUCAGCGGCGGACGGGUGAGUAAUGCCUAGGAAUCUGCCUGGUAGUGGGGGAUAACGUCCGGAAACGGGCGCUAAUACCGCAUACGUCCUGAGGGAGAAAGUGGGGGAUCUUCGGACCUCACGCUAUCAGAUGAGCCUAGGUCGGAUUAGCUAGUUGGUGGGGUAAAGGCCUACCAAGGCGACGAUCCGUAACUGGUCUGAGAGGAUGAUCAGUCACACUGGAACUGAGACACGGUCCAGACUCCUACGGGGGGCAGCAGUGGGGAAUAUUGGACGAUGGGCGAAAGCCUGAUCCAGCCAUGCCGCGUGUGUGAAGAAGGUCUUCGGAUUUUAAAGCACUUUAAGUUGGGAGGAAGGGCAGUAAGUUAAUACCUUGCUGUUUUGACGUUACCAACAGAAUAAGCACCGGCUAACUUCGUG